rnacentral:rRNA from 1 species
GACGAACGCUGGCGGCGUGCUUAACACAUGCAAGUCGAACGGAAAGGCCCUGCUUUUGUGGGGUGCUCGAGUGGCGAACGGAUGAGUAACACGUGAGUAACCUGCCCUUGACUUUGGGAUAACUUCAGGAAACUGGGGCUAAUACCGGAUAGGAGCUCCUGCUGCAUGGUGGGGGUUGGAAAGUUUCGGCGGUUGGGGAUGGACUCGCGGCUUAUCAGCUUGUUGGUGGGGUAGUGGCUUACCAAGGCUUUGACGGGUAGCCGGCCUGAGAGGGUGACCGGACACAUUGGGACUGAGAUACGGCCCAGACUCCUACGGGAGGCAGCAGUGGGGAAUAUUGCACAAUGGGCGGAAGCCUGAUGCAGCAACGCCGCGUGCGGGAUGACGGCCUUCGGGUUGUAAACCGCUUUCGCCUGUGACGAAGCGUGAGUGACGGUAAUGGGUAAAGAAGCACCGGCUAACUACGUG